rnacentral:tRNA from 1 species
GAUGGUUUGGCCGAGUGGUCUAAGGCGCCAGAUUUAGGCUGGUCCGAAAGGGCGUGGGUUCAAAUCCCACAGCUGUCA